UCGCACAGGCCCGCUCGGCGCGGAGGGGGAGCGGCGGCGGCGGGAGCGCCGCGGCCAUGAACGCGGAGAACCAGGGCUGCAGCGAGCGGCUGGUGACGGCGGCCUACGUGCGCCAGGGGGCGCAGGGCCGCCGCGCGCACGAGCUGCGCCUGCGGGCGCUGCUGGAGCAGGGGAAAUGUCCUGAAGAUGGAUGGGAUGAAAGCACCAUUGAAUUGUUUCUUCAUGAACUUGCUAUAAUGGAUAGCAAUAACUUCCUGGGCAACUGUGGUGUUGGUGAGAGGGAAGGAAGAGUGGCGUCAGGUCUUGUUGCCCGAAGGCAUUACAGGUUGAUCCAUGGAAUUGGAAGGUCAGGUGAUAUUUCUGCAGUACAGCCCAAAGCUGCAGGUUCAAGCCUUUUGAACAAACUUACUAAUUCAGUAGUUCUGGAUGUUAUAAAACUGGCUGGUGUCCGGACAGUGACCAAUUGCUUUGUGGUUCCUAUGGCAACAGGCAUGAGUCUAACUCUGUGUUUUUUAACAUUGAGGCACAAGAGACCAAAGGCAAAAUACAUUAUCUGGCCACGUAUAGACCAAAAAUCUUGCUUUAAAUCAAUGAUAACUGCAGGUUUUGAGCCUGUGGUGAUAGAAAAUGUAUUAGAAGGUGAUGAGCUACGGACAGACCUUGAAGCAGUGGAGGCCAAAAUCAAGGCUCUUGGUGCUGAAAAUAUUCUUUGUGUGCAUUCUACAACAUCUUGCUUUGCUCCAAGGGUACCUGAUAGGCUGGAGGAGCUGGCUGUAAUUUGUGCUAAUUAUGACAUUCCACAUAUUGUCAACAAUGCAUAUGGAGUUCAGUCUUCAAAAUGUAUGCAUCUUAUCCAGCAGGGUGCUCGCGUUGGCAGAAUAGAUGCUUUUGUUCAGAGCUUGGACAAAAAUUUUAUGGUUCCAGUAGGUGGUGCUAUCAUUGCUGGCUUCAACGAGUCCUUCAUUCAGGAGAUCAGCAAAAUGUAUCCAGGAAGAGCAUCUGCAUCUCCUUCUUUAGAUGUCCUCAUUACACUUCUGUCUCUGGGAGCCAGUGGCUACAAAAAGUUACUGAAAGAGAGAAAGGAGAUGUUUUCGUAUCUUUCAAGUGAGCUGAAGAAGCUGGCAGAUAACCACAAUGAGAGACUGUUAGACACGCCACAUAAUCCCAUUUCCUUAGCCAUGUCACUGAAGACUCUGGAUGAAACUAAUGAUGCUGCUGUUACCCAGCUUGGAUCUAUGCUUUUCACAAGACAAGUUUCUGGAGCAAGGGUUGUUCCCUGUGGGUCUGUGCAAACUGUGAAUAACUACACUUUUAAAGGCUUUAUGUCACAUGCAAAUGACUAUCCUUGUGCUUACCUCAAUGCUGCCUCAGCAAUUGGAAUUAAAAAGCAAGAUGUAGAUGUAUUCCUAAAAAGACUUGACAAGUGUUUGAAGACUUUUAGAAAAGAAGCAAAGCAAGAAAAAAGUAUAAAUGAAGUCAGUGAUGCUAAUGCAGCCACAGAACAACUUGAAGACUAGAAGAUACAGAUUUAGUAACACAGGAAGAUAAGGUUUUGUCUGAAGUGUGUCAGACUCUGCUUUACUAGUGCAGCAGAAAAAGGAUGGGAAAGGAGGAAGGAUGCCUACCAGUGAAUUGCUAUCCCCACUGAUGCAGAACCUCCUAUGCAAGAAGUCAACUGGAGCACAAAACAGCAGCAGAUGCAAGUGCACAUGCCACUAGCUUUUUUUUCUUAGAGGGUUUAUAAUCAGUAAAUGGAUUUCAACAUAAUUUUUUUUAAAUAAUGUUUUAUCUAGUGUCAUUAAAACUCAUGCUCAU